rnacentral:rRNA from 1 species
CCCUAUUACACUAAAUAAAAAUUAGUAUGGAUGCUUGAGUAGUAAUCAGUUAUGCUCUUGAAAUUUAAAGGAUUUGGCGGUAUUCAAGUCUGGUUAGAGGAACCUGCUCCUUAAACGAUAUGCCACGAAUCAUCUUACUUUAUCUAGUUUUCAGUAUGUAUACCUCCAUUAUAAGCGGUGUUUUUAAAGAUGUGCUGUGAUUGGGCGUCCCAAGUAUAUUAGGUCAAGGUGCAGCCUAUGGUAAAGUGGUUGUGGGUUACAUUGUUUUAUAUAAUUCGGAUGUGUCUGUAAAAUCGGACUCUGAAGUUGGAUUUAAUUGUAUGUUCAUUUUAAUAAGUUGAGCAGAUUAAAGCUCUAGAGUAUGUACAUAUCGCCC